rnacentral:rRNA from 1 species
UACGGAGGGGGCUAGCGUUGUUCGGAAUUACUGGGCGUAAAGCGCACGUGGGCGGCUUUGUAAGUUAGAGGUGAAAGCCCGGGGCUCAACUCCGGAAUUGCCUUUAAGACUGCAUCGCUAGAAUUGUGGAGAGGUAAGUGGAAUUCCGAGUGUAGAGGUGAAAUUCGUAGAUAUUCGGAAGAACACCAGUGGCGAAGGCGACUUACUGGACACAUAUUGACGCUGAUGCACGAAAGCUAGGGGAGCAAACAGG